UACGGAGGAUCCAAGCGUUAUCCGGAAUCAUUGGGUUUAAAGGGUCCUAGGCGGUUUAAUAAGUCAGUGGUGAAAGCCCAUCGCUCAACGGUGGAACGGCCAUUGAUACUGUUAAACUUGAAUUAUUAGGAAGUAACUAGAAUAUGUAGUGUAGCGGUGAAAUGCUUAGAGAUUACAUGGAAUACCAAUUGCGAAGGCAGGUUACUACUAAUGGAUUGACGCUGAUGGACGAAAGCGUGGGUAGCGAACAGG
rnacentral:rRNA from 1 species